GUAUUGUGGGCAGGGUGCGCACUCCCGGCCGGCCGGCCCGCACAUGCGCAGAGGGGAGGAGAAGCGGCGGACGGUGGAGAGACAAGCGGGACCACAGACUCACCACUCUCUGCAAGUGUGGUGUGAGAAGACGAGACUAUAAGGUCACAGUCCUAAAUGGUGGAACACUUUAGAGACGCAGCUUAACACAGCCGCAAACUGUUCCACUUUGGAGUGGCUCCUCAGCUAAAGGAUGGCGACAGCGGUGGACGGAGGUGAUCAGUGCCGAUUAGCGGAUGAGCUUGCUUCCUGCGUGCUUGGAAGUGCCCUAGGGAUUACAAGGUCAAUGCCAGGAGGAUAGGAUGAGCGGUGGCUGCAAGAGGCGAGAAGACAGCAUGUACAUGGGUCAAGGUGUUGGUGGAGUGGGCUGCUGGAAGGCCCUGUUGGAACCUGGGGAUCACAUGGAUCAGGCGCCGCUGAAGGCCCGACAGAGGUCAGAUGAGUGCCCAGAUCAGAUGCAGCCUGCAGAAGAUCGGAGCAGAGGAACGGCGGUGGGGAAUGACGGAAACAUGGCAACCAUUUAUGUACUGCCUCUAAAGAAAUCUACUAAUUUUACGCUGCAAUCGUUUUAGGCUUAGGUUUAGGUUCAUUAUUAUCGUCACAUGUACCGAGGUAUCAUGAAUUGAGUCAUACAGCAUGGAAACAGGCCCUUCAGUCCAACCUGCUCAAGCUGACCAAGAUGCCCCCCCAUCUACGCUAGACCCAACUGCCCUGUUUGGCCCAUGUCCCUCUAAACCUUUCCAAUCUACGGACCUGUCCAAAAUGUCUUCUAAUGUGUUAUUGUACUUGCCUCAACUACGUCCUCCAGAGGCACAUUCCAUAUACCCACCUGUGUGAAAUGAUUGCACCUCGACUUCCUAUUAAAUCUUUCCCCUUUAACCUUGAACCUACGUACGUCCUCUGUUUCUUGAUUCCCCAACUCUGGAUAGAGGGCUCUGUGCAUUCACUCUAUCAAUCCCCCUCAUGAUUUUAUGCACCUCUGUAAGAUCACCCCUCAAUCUCCUGCUCUCCAAGGAAUAAAGUCGUGGCCUGCUACUCAACCUUUCCUUGUAGCUCAGGCCCUCAUUCUGGCAACAUCCUCAUACAUCUUCUCUGCACACUUUCCAGCAUUACAUCAUGCGCGCGUAAUGUAGUGUUAUGUGUGCGUCGUGAUGCGUAAAUUAUGUUGCGUAAAUAACGUGCAAAUAACGGCCAAGUGGGACAGGCCCUUAAGUUAAAAAAUUCUAGGAGCAGAAUAAAGCCUUUAGGCCCAUCCUCAAUUCAAUCAUGGCUGAUCUAUCUUCCCCUCUUAACCCCCUUCUCCCUCCUUCUCCCCAUAACCCCUGACACUCUUACUAAUCAAGAAUCUGUCAAUCUCCACCUUAAAAAUAACAUUUGACUUGGCCUCCACAGCCUUCUGUGGAAACCAAUUCCACAGAUUCACCAACCCCUGACUGUUAUUGCAGCCAAGAAAAUAAUAAUGAUCAUGAUUGAACUGUGGAUUCUAAUAGAGCUAAUAUUAUGAUUUAUCCUGCCUUUGCUGCUCAUACAUUAUGUAAAAAUAAUCUGUUAAAUGAAAGUUACUUUUAACUGAAAACUAAAUAAAAUUGACAGCAUUGAACGUGCAAGUGUAAUUCACCUGGGAUUACUUCGCUAAGACCGUCUUCUGCUGAAGACACUUUAUCUCUUUUGCUAAAAAAUUCAGUUCAAUAAGUGCAGAUAAUAUGUGUCAAAAUCAGAGCAAUGGAAUGGAAAGUAAAUGUUUAAUGGUUGCUGGAGGUGAGCAAAAUGUCACAGCUCUUGACAAUUACUGCUGCUGAUUAAUGCCUGUGAUUUUUGUUUGUGUUACUUAAGGGAAUAAAAUCAAAUCUACAGCCUGUCAGAAAGAAAAAUAACCUGUUUUAUUCUGGUAAGGAAAUGUGGAUUGUCAACAGUGAAUCAAUGACAGGCUCUUUAAAUAAAGAUCUUCUCAAGAUUUGAAUGGGAACGUUGAAAGCCCAGCUACCUACGGUGGAUUUGAUAGUGAUUGAAUCUAUUAUUCUCUGAUCAUUAUCACUGAAAUAGUAGGCAGACCCAUACAGAGGCACAGCACUGUCCCAUUGAUCUUAACACAGCAGCUUCUAAAAGCCUGACUGUACGGAAUGAGCCAACGGG